CAAAAUUGAGUGUCUACAGCUGCCCCUCUUUGCUCAUUGCUGUGUAACAGGAAUCGAGUAAAGACUCAUAGAAAGACCAAAUUUGCCCGGCCUUAUCGGAUCAUGGUCCUCAAUCUGCUCAUUGCAAACUCAAGACUAUCAUGUUGAUAUCUUCGAUCUACUCUCUGUUGAACACAGAGACGCCAAAUCUGCUUCUUCGAUCUGUUUUCUGACAAUAAAGAGAUGCCAAAUCAUCUUAGAUCUG
rnacentral:lncRNA from 1 species